rnacentral:lncRNA from 1 species
GACAGUUUCAUCAAAAAGCCAAGGAAAUUGGCAUGAUUCAGACAGAGCUAAAGACAAUAAAACAAUUCCAGAAGAGGAAAAUACAAGUGGAAAAAGAAUUAGAAGAUCUGAAAGAAAAUCUAAGGAACUCAGAGAAGAACUAUCAGGAGACCCUUAGAAGACUAGAAAGCAGAUUUUUUGAAGAAAAGCACCGGCUGGAACAAGAGGCUGAGAAGAGGAUCAUGAUACUGGCCGAGAGAGCCCACCAUGAAGCUGUGGUGCAGCUGAACACUGCGGGAAGAAACGUCUUUAAAGAGAAUGUUUAUCUUCACAAGGCGCUCGCAUACCACUUGAAGGCAGCUGAGGCUCAACAGAAGAACUCCAAGAAGAUGGAAGAGAGUCACUCCUGCCUUAUACACCAAAAGGAAAUCAAUGAUCUGUUGGUUAAGGAAAAGAUUAUGCAACUCAUGCAGCAAAGAUCACAGAUCCAAGCUCUUCAGAAGAAGGUGGUGAGCUUGGAGAAUGCUCUGACCUACAUGACCGCAGAGUUUGAGGCUGAAGUUUCAAAGCUGCAGCAAAAGGCACUCAUAGAGAACCAAGCAGGUUUGGUAGAGAUCGACAAGCUGCAGCAGCUUCUUCAGAUGAAGGACAAGGAGAUGAACCGCAUAAAGAAGCUGGCCAGGAACAUACUGGAUGAGAGGACAGAAGUGGAACAGUUCUUUCUAGACGCUCUCUACGAAGUGAAGCAACAGAUUCUGAUCAGCAGGAAGCAUUAUAAGCAAAUAGCACAAGCUGCUUUCAAUUUAAAAAUGAGAAUGGCGUGUGCAGGAAGGACAGAAUACCCCCGAAUCAGGACCUUUGACGGCAGAGAACAAAGCACCAAUAGUGUGAAUCAGGACCUCACGGAGGCUGAAAAAUGGCCAACUACUCAAGAAAAUGUGGAUAUUAGAGAUUUGACCUGGGAACAAAAGGAAAAAGUCUUAAGAUUGCUCUUUGCAAAAAUGAAUGGCUUUGCUGCCAGGAAAUACAGUCAGAGUUCUAAGCCUCCUGUUCCAGACCAUAUUACUUAUGACAGUGGAGAA